rnacentral:rRNA from 1 species
AAAGUGGAUUAGCGGCGGACGGGUGAGUAACACGUGAGUAACCUACCUUAGACAUUGGGAUAGCCUCGGGAAACCGGGAUUAAUACCAAAUAAAAUCAUAAUGACACAUGUCAUAACGAUCAAAACUCCGGUGGUCUAAGAUGGACUCGCGUCCCAUUAGCUAGUUGGUAGAGUAGAAGCCUACCAAGGCGACGAUGGGUAGCCGGCCUGAGAGGGUGAACGGCCACAUUGGAACUGAGAAACGGUCCAA